rnacentral:lncRNA from 10 species
UUUGACUCGGAAAGGGAACUCCCUGACCCCUUGCGCUUCCCAGGUGAGGCAAUGCCUCGCCCUCCCAUUCUCACUCUCUUUAUGUAGGAAACAGAUAUCUACAAAUACCUAUCACCAACUUUGACCUCUCCCUGAGCACCGGCACAUCUUUCACUGAAUUAUUGAGUAAGACAUUGUCCUAGGAACUUGGCAUAUACAUAACGACAAGAGCAAACAAGAGAGAUGCAGACUCUCUCCCUACUGGGCUUGCAGUCUAAUCGUAGACACAAAAGAUUACAACACACUGUCAUAAGACUAUAAUGGGGAAAGCUUAGGGCACUGUGGGAUGGCACAGGGAGACCAUCUACCUGGAUUUGAGGAUUAAGAACUUCCAAGGGGACAUGACACAAAAGCUGAAGCCUAAAGCCCUGGAAUCCAAUAGCACUACUGAAAGGAAGCUAAGACAGACACUUGACCUCGAGACCUAUCAGGCACCAUGCACCUGCAGCAGGGACCACAGCUGAAAGCCAUAUGUAUCUUGCUCUUUUGUUCUCUGGGCCAAUGGGUGAGAAAGGACGCUGCAGCUGGGGGCUGGGGGAGAGCAGUCAUUUCAUAUGGUGGGUAGUUUCCACCAGAGAAGUAAUCAGGGUUCUCAAUUCCCUUUUUUGAGAGAUAAAUCUGAUCUAGGAAUCCCUCUACCACAAGUAAAUAAAUUAAACAUAUUCUCAUUUUGUCUCCAGCAUGAAGCUAAAUCAUCGCUGAAUAUGCAGAAGGAUGCCCCAAACCACAACCAUCAUUCCAGACUGGGAAGAUCCAGGAAAGGGGAGAAAUUGGGUGCUGCUCCUUGAAAGGAACCUUCCAAACAGUGGGCUCUACCUGCACUACACAUUGCAAUCACCAGCAGAGUGCUCAGAAAUCCCAGGCCAUGCCCCAGACCCAUGUAUCAGAAUCUCUGGGCCAAGACCCAGACACUGCGGUUUUUGAAAGCUACCCAUCAUUCCAAUAUGUGGCCAGAGUUGAGGAACUUUGCAUUAAAAAAAAAAAGGCAAAAAAGUUGAGGACCUUUGCUUUAAAAAAAAAAAAAAAAAAGGCAAAAAACUAAAAACUGAAGUAUUUCAACAUCCCCCCAAUUUUUUUUUCCUUUGGCUAAAGUCCAAAGAUGGGAAGAAUAAUAUAUUGCUGCCCUUUCUGAGUGCCUUACUGCUUUCCAAGCUGUAAGACCUGAAGGUCUUGGCUGAAGAACAGCUGCUUCUCAGCCAUUCAAGCCUGUGUGUUUACUCCUGUCCUCUACCAUCUCCUGCCUGCUCCUUUAGCUCACUUAACAACAUAUUCUUCUGUUCAAGGACCAGUCAUAUCCAUGUAUUAGAAACAACUAGAAUCUUCCAGGGAGAUUCCAAGUCACCUUUAUCAUUCUCUACCCCUUGUCGCCAGGAUGUACUAGCAUGCCCAGCACCUGGGCUUUUUGACUCAAUGAAUGCUUUCAACAGCAAGACCUUGUAACCUCAAGAGGUAACUCAUGCUGUCUUUGAGUGCUGGUAUGUUUUAAACGAACAAGAUUCAUAAUCCUUUUUAGGAUAGCUCAAAGCAUAAAAGGAAUGAUAGGAAAAAAGAUGAGGGAGGAAAAUUAUUAAAGUGUUUAGUGAGAGAUAUACACAUGCAGACUGGAUAAUGGUUUUAGAAUAUAAGACAAAAAUUGCUACAUGUCACUGCACCAGGACUCCUUUAGAACUUGCUGGAAGGCUUGGUGUUUAUGGGAUCAGCUUUACGUAGGAGAUACAGAGCUAAUGUUUAUGCCCAAGAAGCUGGCAAAACAGAUUUAGAGAGCACAAGAUAAAAGACACUGCAUAACUCAGCAGAAGCAGAAAAAAAUUAAUGAAGUUAAAAUACAGAGGUGGAAAGUGUGUAGAGCACACUGACAUUAGAAGACCCAUAAAGAUGAAUAAUGGUGACUUCGCCUCACAGAAUCAAAUCUGUUAGAUUACUACUCUGUGGUUGAAAGGAACUUGUCCUCUGUGUCUCUGAGUUGUAUGAUUCUUGGGUCACUGAACACACUGGCUUUACCUUGUGGCUUACCCAUUGUGAGCCAGAUUUUCUCUAUGGCUGGAGCCACAAAAUAAUAUGUGGUAGAAGCUUAAAAGAUUCAGUUAAUUCAACAACAGAAGCAUUUAUUACAUAAGAAAAAAACUUAACAGUAUGGCUUAAACCGCUAGCUUAAAAGUAACAGGAGUCUUGUCCUCCUGCUCUGCAUCUAACUCCAGGGUGGUGCCGGGAGAGCCUCAAAUCCCGCUUCUGGCCUUUGCGCUUGGGGUUCUUUCUGCCUGGAACAUUCCUCCUCAGGUAUCAGCAUGGCUAACUCUUCACUUCUUUCAGGCCUUUGUUCAAAUGCAUCUUCCCUGUGAGGCCUUUCGUUGACAUCCCAUCUAAAAUUUCAAUAGAUCCCUUACAUAUACACAUGCAUAAGUGUGCACACAUGCACACAGACACACACACACUUUUUUCCUUUAGCACUGAUCACUGUCUAGUACACUAUAUAUUUUACUUAUUUGUCUUAUUUCUUGUCUAUCCUCCUCUUCUCCCAUUGAUGUGUAAACUUCACAAAGGCAAUGAUUUUUGUCUAUUUUGUUACUGAUAUAUCCUCCAAUACCUACAACAAUGAUGAGCACAUGUCCAACAGGAGAUGUUUAAUAAAAGUUUAUUGAAUGUACAAAUGAAUCUUACAUGACCUCAUGAGAGUUGGUGUUCCAGUGUAAAUGAAUGCAAAGUUAAAAUGUGUAUUUAUUGCAAUAAUUCAGAUAUAAAUCUAACCACAUUCUCUCAACUUAAAACUGAGGUUAAGAGCUUCCUCUAAGAUAAUUAUUGGUUCAUAUAAACUAUCCAAAGUACACCCUCUUUUGCAGAAAUAUGAUCAGAUAUUCAGUUUCUCAGGGAAUUUAU